UACGAAGGACCCGAGCGUUAUCCGGAUUUAUUGGGUUUAAAGGGUGCGUAGGCGGAUUAGUAAGUCAGUGGUGAAAGCCCGUCGCUUAACGGCGGAACUGCCAUUGAUACUGCUAGUCUUGAGUAUGGUUGAGGUGGGCGGAAUGUGUCAUGUAGCGGUGAAAUGCUUAGAUAUGACCCAGAACACCAAUUGCGAAGGCAGCUCGCUAAGCCAUAACUGACGACUGAGGCACGGAAAGCGUGGGAGCAAACAGGG
rnacentral:rRNA from 1 species